rnacentral:rRNA from 1 species
AACGAACGCUGGCGGCAGGCCUAACACAUGCAAGUCGAGCGAACCGCAAGGUUAGCGGCGGACGGGUGAGUAACGCGUGGGAACGUGCCCUUCUCUACGGAAUAGCCUCGGGAAACUGAGAGUAAUACCGUAUACGCCCUUAGGGGGAAAGAUUUAUCGGAGAAGGAUCGGCCCGCGUUGGAUUAGGUAGUUGGUGGGGUAAUGGCCUACCAAGCCGACGAUCCAUAGCUGGUUUGAGAGGAUGAUCAGCCACACUGGGACUGAGACACGGCCCAGACUCCUACGGGAGGCAGCAGUGGGGAAUCUUAGACAAUGGGGGAAACCCUGAUCUAGCCAUGCCGCGUGAGCGAUGAAGGCCUUAGGGUUGUAAAGCUCUUUCGCUGGGGAGGAUAAUGACGGUACCCAGUAAAGAAGCCCCGGCUAACUCCGUGCCAGCAGCCGCCGUAAUAC